rfam:Gossypium arboreum cultivar AKA8401 contig_3634_11, whole genome shotgun sequence.
UUUUUAAAUUCAUCUAUUUCUAUUAUUAAAAACUAGCAUAGUUAACCGAAUAAUUAAAUAGUGGCAUAAAAUGUGCCCGGUGUACCUCAUAUUAACAUAUAGGGAUGAAUUUUUAAUAAUAAAAAUGGAUAAAAUUUUAAUAA